UAUGUAGGGUGCGAGCGUUGUCCGGAAUUAUUGGGCGUAAAGAGCUUGUAGGCGGUCUGUCGCGUCUGCUGUGAAAAUCCGGGGCUCAACCCCGGACUUGCAGUGGGUACGGGCAGACUAGAGUGUGGUAGGGGAGACUGGAAUUCCUGGUGUAGCGGUGAAAUGCGCAGAUAUCAGGAGGAACACCGAUGGCGAAGGCAGGUCUCUGGGCCACUACUG
rnacentral:rRNA from 1 species